CCCUUAGACGUUCUGGGCCGCACGCGCGCUACACUGAAGGCCUCAGCGUGUCUUCCAUUCCCUCCCCGAGAGGGGCGGGUAACCCGCUGAACCGCCUUCGUGGUAGGGAUCGGGGUUUGCAAUUGUCCCCCGUGAACCAGGAAUUCCCAGUAAGCGCGAGUCAUCAGCUCGCGUUGAUUACGUCCCUGCCCUUUGUACACACCGCCCGUCGCUACUACCGAUUGAACGUUUUAGUGAGGUAUUUGGAUCGCUCGCGUCGGGGAUUUCGGUCUCCUUCGCCGAGUGAGAAGACUCCCAAACUUGAGCGUUUAGAGGAAGUAAAAGUCGUAACA
rnacentral:rRNA from 1 species